rnacentral:rRNA from 1 species
AUCGCUGACAAUACCGCAUAGGUUCUCGCGAGAGCGAGAGCAAAGCUCCUUUUCGGAGGGGCGCUGAAAGAUGAACCUGCGGCCGAUUAGCUAGCUGGUGAGGUAACGGCUCACCAGGGCGUCGAUCGGUAGCUGGUCUGAGAGGACAAUCAGCCACACUGGGAUUGAGAACGGCCCAGACUCCUACGGGAGGCAGCAGUGAGGAAUUUUCCGCAAUGGACGCAAGUCUGACGGAGCAACGCCGCGUGCAGGAAGACGGCCUUCGGGUUGUAAACUGCUUUUAUCAGGGAAGAGAACGGACGGUACCUGAUGAAUAAGCCCCGGCUAACUACGUGCCAGCAGCCGCGGUAAUACGUAGGGGGCGAGCGUUGUCCGGAAUUAUUGGGCGUAAAGGGCACGCAGGCGGUUCGCCAAGUUCGAAGUGACAAUCAACGGCUUAACCGGUGAACGACUUCGAAAACUGGUG